rnacentral:rRNA from 1 species
UACGAAGGGGGCUAGCGUUGCUCGGAAUCACUGGGCGUAAGGGCGCGUAGGCGGCGUUUUAAGUCGGGGGUGAAAGCCUGUGGCUCAACCACAGAAUGGCCUCGAGUACUGGGACGCUUGAGUAUGGUAGAGGUUGGUGGAACUGCGAGUGUAGAGGUGAAAUUCGUAGAUAUUCGCAAGACACCGGUGGCGAAGGCGGGCCAAACUGGACCAUUACUGGAC